AGUGCUUGGCAGGGAGGGGUUGUUUCCUCGAAAACAGGUUGCCCUUAUUUAAAACACUUUUAUUAAAAAAAGUAGAUGUUAAAAUACCCAGAGUGACAUUGAAAAGUCCUUGUUUUCACUGCUGUACAGCAAGCUGAGGGGGUAUUCUUGUGAAGGGAGCAGGAAAAUAGAAGUGCCCUCAUCUCCUUGGCUUGUUACUCGUGGGAAACGCCAUCAUUACUGGGGAGCUGCAGAAGCAGAAGGGCGGCUGCGUAAGGACGUGCUCUGCAGAAACGAGAGGUUCGGCUGAGUAACAGUAGGAUGAAGGACGUUUCUGAUGAGUGAUCUGAGUCCUGGCUAGAUCACAGAACAAAGAAGUCGCUUGAACUUCUGGAAAUUGCACUCUGCUGGAUUUCCAGCCCGCAGAGCAGAGCUGGCAGCACGGGACAGCCCUGCGGGGAUGGGGAGCAGGCGCCGCACCGAGACCCUCCGACCAUGGCAUGGUGUGGGGAUGCUGCACGGCCACAUCCUGCUGCUGGUCCCUGCUGCAGCAUGGCAUUCAGCUGGGAAACUGCGACUGGUGUAAGUGACUGCUGCAUGCAGCACCUUGUCACCAAGGCGAAGCCAAAAGGGAAAGUAACUUUUGGGGAACCUUGGUGGCGAUGUCUUCUCAGCAUAUCCAUAGACUUAACUAAAGGCUCAUGCCUUAUCCACCAUCAUACGUGAAAACUGGUGCAAUCCAAGGGCUGCAGCAGCCUUGCCUGGCUGGGAAAGAUCCACUGUUUGCAGUGUCUGGGAUUGCUUUGCGUGUGUCCAAGAGAACUAAUGAGACAUCGAAAACAAUCCCCAAGAUGGAUAAAUCCCCAACCUGGAUAAACUGAUAACUGCAGGAAAAUGUUUGAAACUAAAAUUAAAUCAAUAGUGAAAGCUUA